GUAGAUAUAGUUUACAAAAAACAUUAGACUGUGAAUCUAAUAACAAGAGAUCAAACUCUUUAUUUACC
rnacentral:tRNA from 1 species